GUCACGAUGGAGUCCGUCUGGCUCUCUUAGCUAAGGAAGAGUCACUUCAGGUUAAAACAAGGAAAAAGAAUGCCUGUGUUUCGAAGUUCCUUCUUAGGACGAAACCAGCUGAAGCUGGCGAAAUCCAAGAUGGCGCCUCUGAAGAGCCUCUGGCUUUAUCAUCAUCCUGUUCUCAUGCUAAACAACAUGUCGCCAUGACAACGACUGGAAGAGACCAAGAAGGGACAGAAAAAAAGGGGUUUCUUGAUUCCGGGAAAAAUCUCCGUUCUUUCCCAAGGAAAGCACGAAUAUUCCCCCCCGUGCUCUUAAUGCCCAGCCCCUUCAUUAAAGACACCCUACCUCUGAAA
rnacentral:lncRNA from 1 species